AACGUCCUUACCUCGCUGAAUACAGCGGUUCCGCCCGAUUACCGAAGUGAAGCAGUGUUGGGUGCAAACUGUAUUUGGAUUGGAGACCGCCUGGGAACACUGUGAUGUCG